rnacentral:rRNA from 1 species
GACGAACGCUGGCGGCGUGCUUAACACAUGCAAGUCGAACGGUGAAGCCCUUCGGGGUGGAUCAGUGGCGAACGGGUGCGUAACACGUGAGCAACCUGCCCCUGGCUCUGGGACAACCACUGGAAACGGUGGCUAAUACCGGAUACGACCCGCCUCGGCAUCGAGUGUGGGUGGAAAGUAUUUCGGCUGGGGAUGGGGUCGCGGCCUAUCAGCUUGUUGGUGAGGUGAAGGCUCACCAAGGCGACGACGGGUAGCCGGCCUGAGAGGGCGACCGGCCACACUGGGACUGAGACACGGCCCAGACUCCUACGGGAGGCAGCAGUGGGGAAUAUUGCACAAUGGGCGAAAGCCUGAUGCAGCGACGCCGCGUGAGGGAUGACGGCCUUCGGGUUGUAAACCUCUUUCAGCUCCGAAGAAGCGAAAGUGACGGUAGGAGCAGAAGAAGCACCGGCUAACUACGUG